CCUACGGGGGGCAGCAGUGAGGAAUAUUGGUCAAUGGGCUUACGCCUGAACCAGCCAAGUCGCGUGAGGGAAGACUGCCCUAUGGGUUGUAAACCUCUUUUGUCAGGGAGCAAUUGGCGCUACGUGUAGCGUUAUCGAGAGUACCUGAAGAAAAAGCAUCGGCUAACUCCGCGCCAGCAGCCGCGGUAAUACGGAGGAUGCGAGCGUUAUCCGGAUUUAUUGGGUUUAAAGGGUGCGUAGGCGGAUUUUUAAGUCAGCGGUAAAAUGUCCGGGCUCAACCCGGGCCGUCCGUUGAAACUGGGGAU
rnacentral:rRNA from 1 species